CAAGACAUCUACAGAGUCCCAGCGCUAUAAACCUUUACAGUUACAUGCCCCCCCCCCAUGGCCAAGACAUCUACAGAGUCCCAGCGCUAUAAACCUUUACAGUUACAUGAACCCCCCCAUGGCCAAGACAUCUACAGAGUCCCAGCGCUAUAAUCUACAGAGUCCCAGCGCUAUAAACCUUUACAGUUACAUGCCCCCCCAUGGCCAAGACAUCUACAGAGUCCCAGCGCUAUAAACCUUUACAGUUACAUGCCCCCCCCCCCAUGGCCAAGACAUCUACAGAGUCCCAGCGCUAUAAACCUUUACAGUUACAUGAACCCCCCCCACCCCCCCCCCAUGGCCAAGACAUCUACAGAGUCCCAGCGCUAUAAUCUACAGAGUCCCAGCGCUAUAAACCUUUACAGUUACAUGACUGACCGUCCCCCCCCAUGGCCAAGACAGACUAAUAAUAAUGCUAUCUUCAUCAUCAUCACCCGUUAUGAGAGGUAUUAAACACUUCAGAUAGAACAGGCAGGACAUCAGUUCUCGUCCGUCCCAUGUCCCAGCACUGCUCUGCUCUAAAUGACAGUGAUGUUAUGUGUUGGUUCUCUACAUCGCUGUGUAGUCAUGGGAAACACAAGGUGCCUUUCCGAGAUGAUUUCACAACUGUAAUGUUCUCUCAAGCUAUUACCUAUGCAUGGAUCGAAGCUUGGUGUAUGUUAUACUCUAUAUUAACCAACAGAAUGAAAUUGUUCCUAUAUAUUAUGUCAUUUUUUGUAUUUUUUUUUAUCUUUAACUAAAACUGUUAUCUAUGUACCAUUCCCCAGUCAAUGAUAUGAAGCUAAAAUACAGGAUGUAUAUAUUUCCCAGUCUGUAUUAUGUUCGUCCCAAGUGGCAUCCUGUUCCCGUAGUGCUCUAGUUUUGACUAGGUCCAUGGAGCUCUGGUCAACAGUAGUGUACACUAAUAGAGAUUAGGGUGCCAGUUUUGACUAGGUCCAUGGAGCUCUGGUCAACAGUAGUGUACACUAAUAGAGAUUAGGGUGCCAUGUGGGAAACAUAUCCUUUUCAACACACAAUCAUGUUGUCGUCAUGAUUCAUAGUAAUUCAUCAUAUUUUAUGUGCUCAUGUUUUCUGUGAUAAUGAUCGACGGAAAGUGAUUGUCUCAUUGAUAAUCAAAGUGAAUUUAUGCAAUGUAUGAUUUUUAAAAUUCAAACCCUGAUUUAAUAAUAAUAAUAUUUCAAAUCCAGUCGAAUUGAACUUCAGACUUAAAGAUGUGUUUGUGAUAGAUGUUUGUCCUACCUCUAACAAUACAUUGUGUUAUCUGUGCCAAAGCCUUGCUACGCGUAUAGAAAAUGGCAACUUUUACAUGAGUCAUGAAUCACCCCCAAUAGAUGUCCUUUAGAGGUAGUCCACCGUUUCCAUAACAUACUGAAUCCUACAGCUGUCACCCUUCCGUUUCCAUAACAUACUGAAUCCUACAGCUGUCACCAUUCAGAACAUACUGAAUCCUACAGCUGUCACCAUUCAGAACAUACUGAAUCCUACAGCUGUCACCAUUCAGAACAUACUGAAUCCUACAGCUGUCACCAUUCAGAACAUACUGAAUCCUACAGCUGGCACCAUUCCGUUUCCAUAACAUACUGAAUCCUACAGCUGUCACCAUUCAUAACAUACUGAAUCCUACAGCUGUCACCAUUCAGAACAUACUGAAUCCUACAGCUGUCACCAUUCAGAACAUACUGAAUCCUACAGCUGUCACCCUUCCGUUUCCAUAACAUACUGAAUCCUACAGCUGUCACCAUUCAGAACAUACUGAAUCCUACAGCUGUCACCAUUCAGAACAUACUGAAUCCUACAGCUGUCACCAUUCAGAACAUACUGAAUCCUACAGCUGUCACCAUUCCGUUUCCAUAACAUACUGAAUCCUACAGCUGUCACCCUUCCGUUUCCAUAACAUACUGAAUCCUACAGCUGUCACCAUUCAGUUUCCAUAACAUACUGAAUCCUACAGCUGUCACCAUUCAGAACAUACUGAAUCCUACAGCUGUCACCAUUCAGAACAUACUGAAUCCUACAGCUGUCACCAUUCAGAACAUACUGAAUCCUACAGCUGUCACCAUUCAGAACAUACUGAAUCCUACAGCUGUCACCAUUCAGAACAUACUGAAUCCUACAGCUGGCACCAUUCAGUUUCCAUAACAUACUGAAUCCUACAGUUGUCACCAUUCAGUUUCCAUAACAUACUGAAUCCUACAGCUGUCACCAUUCAGAACAUACUGAAUCCUACAGCUGCCACACUUCAAGUACAGUCAGUACAAAUUAUACACAAGAUAUCCCAUCAGACUGUAGUAGUAUUGAGACUCUUUGAUUUGUCUGACAGUCACCUGAGAUGUUCUUUUACACUGAGAUGCUCAGUGAAGACAUUCAAUAGACACUGACGACAGCCAUAUCGUCUCCUCCACCAGAGCAGUAUUGAUCACAUCUCUCUGCGUGGCUGUCUGAUUAAAUGUUCUCUCUCUCCGACCGUCACACACUGAGAUGUGAUGGUCGGACACGUGAUUGACAGUGGUGUUUUUACCUGACAGUACUGUAGGGACCAGGUUGAAGAGAGUUAUGGUUGUUGUGAUGGUUAGAGUUGUUGUGAUGGUUAGAGAUAGGGUUAGGGUUGUUGUGAUGGUUAGAGAUAGGGUUAGGGUUGUUGUGAUGGUUAGAGAUAGGGUUAGGGUUGUUGUGAUGGUUAGAGAUAGGGUUAGGGUUGUUGUGAUGGUUAGAGAUAGGGUUAAGGUUGUUGUGAUGUGGGGUAGUCUACUGGUGUUGUCCACAUGGUCCUGUGGGUGGGGUGGUGUACAGUCUGGUUGGAUAAUGUCAUUAUCUAUAAAAGGUAAAAGAAGUCGAUCGUUUGUUUGAAGAGAAGCUUCAAGUCUGUUUCAACACAAUGCUCUUAACAUCUUACCAGAAAUAGGCUGACAGAUUCUUCUGUAGCUGUGGUAUCAUCACUGCCUCAUCUUCAAAAGGAGGGAGACUUUAGACAUGAUUUUCAGUUUUGGCUCGAGGGCCACAUCGGGAUUUUGAAAUUCAACGGAGGGAUGCAUUUUUUGGGGGACCAAUUGUUUGUUAUAAUCAAUUUGCGGGGGCCUCCCGAGUGGCGCAGCGGUCUAAGGUACUGCAUCGCAGUGCUAGAAGCGUCAUUACAGACCCGGGUUCGAUCCCGGGCCGUGUCAUAGUUGGCCGUGACUAAAACACCCAUGAGGCGGCGCAUAAUUGGCCCAUUGUCGUCCGGGUUAGGAGAGGGUUUGGCAGGCCAAGAUUUCCUUGUCCCAUCGCGCUCUAGUGACUCCUGUGGCAGGCCGGGCGCAUGCACGCUGACACGGUCGCCAGGUGUACGGUGUUUCCUCCGACACAUUGGUGCAGCUGGUUUCCGGGUUAAGCGGGCAUUGUGUCAAGAAGCAGUGCGGCUUGGCUGGGUUGUGUUUCGGAGGAUGCUGGGUCGUGUUUCGACCUUCGCCUCUCCCGAGUCCUUAAGGGAGUUGCAGCGAUGGGACAAGAAAGGGCUAAAUUAUUUUUCUUUUUGUCUCGUGGGCCAGAUUGAACUGCCCCGCGGGCCGUACUUUGCCCCCCUCCCCCCUUGCUCUAAGGUAUAUGCAGGACUUGGGCAGGAGCUCACAGGAGCCGAGUACAGGCACCUGAAAUGUUCAACUGCUUGAACUCCUGUUCCUGUUAUUGAAUAUUAUCUCAAAAGUAUUGUGGAACUCCUGCACCUAAAUAUAAGCAGUACUGGCAACCAAAAUGAGUACCGACACCUAUUUCAAUCCAUCUCAAGCACUGGGUAUAUGUUAAAGCAAUCGUCUUAGUCGUGAGAACAGGACAACUUAUCACGGGACACUGUCUCAACACAACAUGCUUGUUUGUUUGAAGCCCUUCUAGUAUUGGUAAAGACAAACCAUUUAUUGGGAAAAAAAUGGUAUCAAAUCAAAGUGUAUUUGUCACGUGCCAUGUACAACAGAUGUAGACGUUACUGUGAAAUGCUUACUGACGAGCCCUUUUCCAAAACAACGCAGAAUUACAAUGUAAUAAUUGAAUGGUAAAGAAAAUGCAAUCGAAUUCUGCAUCGUUCUAUUGUCUGUUUCUAGUAUCAACGUUCCAACAAAGUCCAUGUCAGGGCAAUAUAAUAAUACACAUACCCUGGCCUGGCUCUUGAUAUACCCUGGCCUGGCUCUUGAUAUACCCUGGCCUGGCUCUUGAUAUACCCUGGCCUGGCUCUUGAUAUACCCUGGCCUGGCUCUUGAUAUACCCUGGCCUGGCUCUUGAUAUACCCUGGCCUGGCUCUUGAUAUACCCUGGCCUGGCUCUUGAUAUACCCUGGCCUGUGUGCCAGGCUCUUGACAACUUCUUAUGGAAUUGCCUUUUGGCUUGAAAAUAACAUUGGAGUUGGCACCCAGGCUAUAUACAGUGCCUUCGGAAAAUCUUCAGACCCCUCGACUUUUUCAACAUUUUGUUACGUUACAACCUUAUUCUAAAAUGUAUCAAAUGAAAAUGUACAUACAGUACCAGUCAAAAGUUUGGACUCAUUCAAGGGUUUUUCUUUAUUUUGACUAUUUUCUACAUUGUAGAAUAAUAGUGAAGACAUCAACACUAUGAAAUAACACAUAUGGAAUCACGUAGUAACUAAAAAAGUGUUUAAACAAAUGAAAAUAUAUUUUAUAUUUCAGAUUCUUCAAAGUAGCCAUCCUUUGCCUUGAUGACAGUUUUGCACACUCUUGUCAUUCUCUCAACCAGCUUCAUGAGGUAGUCACCUGGAAUGCAUUUCAAUUAACAGGUGUGCCUUGUUGAAAGUUAAUUUGUGGAAUUUUUUUCCUUAAUGCGUUUGAGCCAAUCAGUUGUGUCGUGACAAGGUAGGGGUGGUGUACAGAAGAAGCCUGUUUGGUAAAAGACCAAGUCCAUAUUAUGGCAAGAACAGCUCAAAUAAGAGAAGUGACAGUCCAUCAUUACUUUAAGACAUAAAGGUCAGUCAAUACGAAAAAUGUCAAGAACUUUGAAAGUUUCUUCAAGUGCAGUCGCAAAAAAACAUCAAGCUCUAUGAUGAAACUGACUCUCAUGAGGACCGCCACAGGAAAGGAAGACCCAGAGUUACCUCUGCAGCAAAGGAUAAAUUCAUUGGAGUGUUAUUUCAGUGUUGAUGUCUUCACUAUUUCAGUUUUGAUGUCUCUUCACUAUUAUUCUACAAUGUAGAAAAUAGUCAAAUGAAAAGAAAAACCCUUGAAUGAGUAGGUUUUCUAAAACUUUUGACCGGUACUGUAUAUGUCUUGGACCAGGCUAUAUAUGUUUGUCUGUAUCUUUUCUGUUAACAAUGUAUUAGUGUAUCGUAUUUUCUUUAUUUCUUGAUGCGCAUAACUGUUGGCUGAGCAGCAGUCCUCGACUUGGGCUGGAGCUGAGUACCAGCACCUCAAAUGUUCUACGGCUUCAGCUCCCGUUCCUCUUAUAGAAUAUCAACUCAAAUGUAUUGUGGAGCUCCUGCACCUGAAUAUAAACAGUAACGACACCUAUUUCAGUCCAUGUCGAGUACUGCUGAGCAGUGUGGAAGGGAGGGGCUAACGCUGGUGGUUUUAUAUAGAGAAAAAUAGCUCUGGUCCAGGGUGUGGUUUGGUAAUGUUCUCAGCGUCGCCCUGGACCAGAGUUAAAGAUAUGAACGUCAGCACGUCCAUUAUAGAUGUACAUAGUGUAUUUCUCUGCUUUGGUUUACGACAAUAUAAGCUGUUUUUCUUACUUUAUACGUUUGUACUUCUGUGAAAUAAAGAUUAUUAUUUUAUCACAUGCUUGCUCUUUACUAUUCUAUAGAUUACUACUAGAAGGUUGGAAAAUUAUGGGAACUUUCCCAAAACUUCC
rnacentral:lncRNA from 1 species